GAUAUACACACUUUGACAACUCAUAUACAAAAAUUGUAACCAUACAGAGAAAAUUGAUGUGGCCCCUGACCAAGGAUAACUUGCAAAUUUGUGAACUGUUCCAUAUUUUA
ensembl:snRNA U6 U6 spliceosomal RNA